UCAUGAAAUUGGCCACAGCUUUUCUGUUUCACUAUGGAAAGGACAGACACAGGUGGAAGCUACACCUCUGGCACAGAUUAGGUACCUAAACACACUUCCUGCCUCUGGCUAGUUGUUGGAGCCUGAGCUGCAUAAGCAAAUAAGUACGAGUAGUUUUUUUCUCCCCCUUCGAUCUGAAAACUUAAGACCCAGCCAGUGAGCACUUGAUUAGAACAUCGCCAUGGGGUUCCUGAGCCGGACAGAUUGAGAACAGCCCUGUCUGAAAAGGAUUCUGAAAUUAUAAUCCAGGUCAGAUUGGAGAGGCAGAAGAGUUUGCAGAUUGCUCAGCCACUGAUUUAAGCUUUGUUCUCUCAAACACUUCGAUGUAGUGGUGGCCAUGGCAACUAGCUGAACAAGGAACUGUGUCCUUUUAACAUCAAGACUCUGAUUGGUCCAUCCUGAGACAUGUGUGCAUCUCUAGACUAAUUACUGUCUCCAGGGGAAGAGUUUCCAGAGAUAAGGCCAUCCCGCCUUCCUUCUGGAGCAGAGAGGGAGACACCCCCCACAGAUGGAGACUUCCUUCACAAAUGCAAACGUCUCUCAUCAAAGGGCAAGUAAAUUCCACUCCUCUGAGCCUCCCUCUCAUCUGCAGUUUUUUAAAAUUAACCAGCCGAAAUCCUCAUCAGCCAUGGCAACUAGCUGAACAAGGAAUUGUGUCCUUUUAACAUCAAGACUCUGAUUGGUCCAUCCUGAGACAUGUGUGCAUCUCUAGACUAAUUACUGUCUCCAGGGGAAGGAAUUCCCAGUGUCUCAGAAAAUGAUAACCAGCAGGAGAGCGUAUAUAAGAAAAUAGCAUAAAGAUGCUGGCAGCAAACCAAGGUUGGUUACAGAUUAUUUGUGUUGACACUCCUGUCGCUCUAUGUGAAUGCUCCUCUCAUAUCAAGAAGCAAAGUCUGGAUCCAUGAAUCUUGACUGGCCUUGGAACUUGCCUUGACCAACAGAUAGCAUCACAAGCGAUGCUCUGGGAUAUCUGAGCUGAAGCCGUAAAAGAACUGGAAGCUCCCACUCACCUUCUCUUGGAGCCCAGUUGCCCUGCUGUAAAGAAGUCAGACUAGACUGUGGAAUGGACUUGGAAUCAGUGAGAGAGGUGAACAGAAACACUUGUAAUUUGUUUUGCGAGGAACAUCAGACUUUGAAGGGGACACAGAGGGGCC
rnacentral:lncRNA from 1 species